GACGAACGCUGGUGGCGUGCUUAACACAUGCAAGUCGAACGGAAAGGCCCUGCUUUUGUGGGGUGCUCGAGUGGCGAACGGGUGAGUAACACGUGAGUAACCUGCCCUUGACUUUGGGAUAACUUCAGGAAACUGGGGCUAAUACCGGAUAGGAGCUCCUGCUGCAUGGUGGGGGUUGGAAAGUUUCGGCGGUUGGGGAUGGACUCGCGGCUUAUCAGCUUGUUUGUGGGGUAGUGGCUUACCAAGGCUUUGACGGGUAGCCGGCCUGAGAGGGUGACCGGCCACAUUGGGACUGAGAUACGGCCCAGACUCGUACGGGAGGCAGCAGUGGGGAAUAUUGCACAAUGGGCGGAAGCCUGAUGCAGCAACGCCGCGUUCGGGAUGACGGCCUUCGGGUUGUAAACCGCUUUCGCCUGUGACGAAGCGUGAGUGACGGUAAUGGGUAAAGAAGCACCGGCUAACUACGUG
rnacentral:rRNA from 1 species